ensembl:lncRNA
GGGGAUAGCCAGAGCGACCUCUGAUGUUCUUGGCACCGAACCACAACAGGCACAGAAGGGGCCUUGAGAUCAUCCAGUGCAGCCCCUCCCUUUGCAGAGAGGAGCUGGGGCCCAGGAGGGGCGUGGUCUGGGCCCGUUUCCCGGGUCCUUCGCCAGCCAGCGCACUGGGCACCCCAGUGACGAUUUUCACAGGGAAGAGCCAAGCAUACAGUUGGCACCAGCCAAUGUUCCAAGGUUCCUCGGUUGGAAGCUUCCUUUGGACCUAAAAUCUGGUCACUGGGAGAAGCGGCUGUGACUCAGGUCUGGAAGUCCUCUUCCAUCUUUCCAAGGUGUGAUCAAAAAUACAGUGACUGUCACUACUGAGAACAAUGCAAGAGAAAGGAGGGCUCCUAAAAACAUCCCGGUGUGUCCACAUCCAGCUUAUUCACCAAUCUUGGACGUACAACUUCUGCCUCUUCCCCAAAGUCGAAAUGAUCAUGGAAGGAUAUCAAGGCAGCCACAACAGCACAACUAAAGACAUUCAUGAAAGAGGACUUCCAGAACUGCUUCAGAAAGUGGCAAGAAUGAUGAGAUAAGUAUUUUCAAAACAAGGGGAUUUGGCCGGGGAUUUAGCUCAGUGGUGUAGCCCCCUGCUACACAAGCGCAAGGACCCAAGCUCGAUCCCCAGUAUAAAAAAAAAAAAACACAAGAGGGUUUAUUUUAGAGAGGAUUAAUGGAAAAGUGGUUUUUACCAUAAUGAAUUUUAAAAAUUUAAAAAUUCACAGUAUAUUUCAAUCACAACAUUGUUCAUGGAGCAGGGGAUAAUUGACAUCUUUACUACACUGAGACUCUUGACCAUGAACACAAUAUACCUCUUGAUAUAUUUAGAUCUUUGGUUCUUCAUGUGUUUUGUAGUUUUCAGCAUAUGAGUAAGUCCUGUACAUGUUUUGCUAGAUUUAUACCUACAUUUUUUUGAGUGAUUGGAAAUGGUAUUAUUUUUAAUUUCAUUAUCCAUGUCUUCACUGCUAAAAUGGAAACACAACUGAUUUUUGUAUGUUUAUCUGACAUUAUUCAAUUUUACUGAACUUGUAUAUAAUUUCUAGUAGUUUAUUGUGUGUGUGUGUGUGUGUGUGCGCUUUUCUACAUAACCACCAUUUGUCAAAGGGGAUAGUUUUAUUUCUUCCUUUCCAAUCCAUACAUCUUUUAUUUGCUUUUCCCACUUGUUACACUGCUGUUGACAGCAGACAUCUUGCCUUGAUUUAGAUCUUGGAGAAAAUUAGUCUUUCACCAUGAAUGCUCUUUAUUGAAUUCAUAUUAAGUUUCUAUUCUGAGACUACCUUUGUUUUCCUUUUUAUCAUAAGUGAGUGUUGAAUUAGUCAGAGGCCUUUUCUUCAUCAAAUGAAAUGAUUAUGCAGUAUUUCUUCUGUAUCUGUUUUUGCAGGAUCACACUGGUAGAUUUUCAAAUAUUAAACAAGGCUCACAUCUUUGGGAAUUAAAUCCCAAUCCCAUUAGGAAGUGUCAUUCAUAAGAAAUGGCAGUAUGACGAUGAAAAUUAAUCAGAAGGGUAUCCAACUUAAGAAGAGGGAAACACAACAGAAAGAUAAAUCCAAAGAAAUUAUGGGAAAGGAGAUAAGGACAAGAAGAGUGGAAAUUCAUGAAACAGAAGACAAAUAGAUGCUCCAGAACUCAAUGAAGCCAAAGUCAAUGCUUUUCAAGAAUUAAUAAAACAGAAAAAUCUGUAAUCAGAAAGUGAGGGGGAA